UGAGAAGAUAGAAAAACAAAACAAAACAUGUUUUCAACUAUGGUUAUAAUAAUUAUAAAAAUCAAAGACAAGCCUCCAGAGCCCCUUAAGCUGGAUAUCACAGACAAAGCAGACAGUCCUCUGAUGAGCUAUGAUGUGAUCUUUGUGCGGCUAAGCUUUAAGAGGAAUGAUGGAGUUCACAAGCUGGAAAAGUUUGCUGUGAAAUUCCUCAACUUAGGGAGAGAGGAAUGUCAACAGGAACAAUGAAGUCUCUAGGAAAACCAAGGAAAUAAUUUUCACUCCCAGAUACGUUUCUUCUUUUGGAAAUCCCAACAAACCUGAAGAGGGAGUUUCUUGUGGAAUUCAGAAGAGGUGGUGAUAGCAACAAGCAGAGCUACCUGAGGUUUUAUUUUGGACAAAAAAAUAAAGCAACUAAAUUGUUUUGCAGCUGGAGAAAUGGGCAAGGGGGGUCCCCAGGCAGUAAACUCCCUGGCAGGUGAGCUGAGGACUAGGGCUGACCCUCAGGUGGGUCCCCCGUUCCCUGUGCUACUCUGCACAACGGCCUCCCUCCCGGGCUCUGGGGCAGCCGCAGGAGCAGUAGUCUGGGAGGGGCUUCCGCACCUGUCACUUGGGCAGGACGUCAGGACGUCAGGACCUCAGAGGACUCAGACACCAGCUUCCCAUCGCGGGUCUCAAUCUUCC
rnacentral:lncRNA from 1 species